rnacentral:rRNA from 1 species
UGUAUAAGUUAUAAAGUCUAGCCUCCCCACUGAUUGAUUUAAAGGGCCGCGGUAAUUUGACCGUGCGAAGGUAGCAUAGUCAGUAGUCUUUUAAUUGAAGGCUUGAAUGAAAGGUUGGACGAGGGAUGAGCUGUCUCCUUUAUGUAAUUUGAAUUUAACUUUUGAGUGAAAAGGCUCAAAUUAUUUAGUGGGACGAUAAGCCCCUAUAAAACUUUAUAUAAGUUUAAUUUGGUUCACAAUUUGAGUGAAAAGUAGCUUUAUUAGGCUUAUAUUUCGUUGGGGAGAUGUAGAUAUAAUGUGUAACUGUCUAUUUAAUUUAAUAAUUAUAAUUAGUGUGUGAUCCUUCUUUGUGGAUUAAAAGUAUAAGUUACUUUAGGGAUAACAGCGUGAUUUUCUUUGAGAGUUCUUAUCGACAAGAGUA